CUUUGACUUCUGACCCAUGUUAAAGAAAAGCCAAGGAAAAGCUGACAGAGAGCGAAACCUUGAUGAGACUGCAGCUGUUCCCUCAGUAUCCUUGCAGAAACAGGAGGAAAUGUGGAUGGGAUGGAUGGAUUGCAGGAAAGGAAGCAAAAAAUAAACUGCCAAGACAGAAAGUUUCACCCAAGAAAAGGUGAAGAGGAUCACAGCAAACACAGCAAUUCAGGAGGGAACAGAUGGACACAGGAAGAAGAGGGAGGCGAGUGCGGAACGAAGGAGAUGGGUGAGGAACAGAUGGAGUCAGGAGAAAGUGAAGAGGAGAGUCAGCAAGGAUGGUAGAAAAGUUUUCCACUUGACCUUGAGUUGAAAUGAAGAUCUGCAUGCAACAUGGGGCAGCUAGCUUUUUGGGUUGCAUCCUUUUU
rnacentral:lncRNA from 1 species